AUGAAGUUCUACUUCAUGAUGGGAUUGAACAACGACAUCUCCAAGAUUAUCUUCCUCGAGAACUACAAGUCCCUCGACAACAACUACAUUGGCGCUCUCAAGGCGGAACAAGAACUUAUGAAGGCCAAGACUUCUCCACCCCAAGCACACUUAUCGAAGACCAACCUCAAGGACGGAGAGCGUGAGGCUAGUACCACCACGUUGUCCAAGACCGACAAGCUCCAAGACUACGCUCCCAAGUUCGACUCCAUCGCCAUCCCUCUUUGCGGCAUUGAUGACGCCGAGUCUACUUCGACUCUUUUUCAAGACGAUGCGGUGACGAGUACAACUAUGGAGACCCUCAAGGAGCAAGCUUUAAAGGCGAGCGACACGGUGGCGAGCAAGGAUGAUGCUUCCAUCUUUGGAGGCAAGAGUGAUGAUGUGCCAUCUUCGGCCUUCAUCCACGGCAACAACGGCGAGAAGGUUGAGCAUGGGACUAUCCUUUCAACCAAGGCGGCGAUAAACGUUGAGCAUGGAGACAUUGGCACCAACAUCUCUCCGACACCCACAUAUGAAGAGAUGCCCCAAAUCCCAUGUGAGGAGAGCCACUACCACAUGAGUGACAUGAGUGACUCCACCAUAUGUGACUUGGAGUAUAUUUCCUAUGAGAGGAUGAGUGUGACCACCACUAGCCCCACACAUGAGAGCAUGCCACACACCCUAUGUGAGGUUGAGAGCCAUUUGAGUGACUCCACCAACCAUACGAGUGAGAGCAUCCAAGAGGGAGUGAGUGAGCCACAACACUUAGUGAGUGAGGUAGUUGAGAGGGCACGUGAGGACACUAUGAUUUCUCACGACUUAACCUCUACUCCGAGUGUGUUUUCUUCUUUGGUGCUAGGUCUCCUACAUGACGACAUGCCUAUCAUCGACGAGUCCAUCCCUCCAAUGGAGACAACGAUGGCCAUGGUGGAUGAUGAUGCCCCCCCACAUGGUUCCAUCAAGAUGAAGAUAACAACGAGUGGAUCUUUGACACCUCACCUACAACACAUGAGCGACGCUUCAAAGGUAACAUAG
rnacentral:rRNA from 1 species